GUCUGCGUGGCUUAGCUGGUCAGAGCGUCGGUCUCAUAUUGCUUAAUAUGACUGAGUCGUAAGACUUAGAUAUCCGAAGAUCAUGAGUUCGAUCCUCAUCGCGGACA
rfam:Verticillium longisporum isolate VL1 genome assembly, contig: scaffold_289